GCAUGGCACAGUGAGAAGAGAACCUCAUUUCUCUUCAAGGACAUCGUACUUCCUAAAUGAUCUCAGGCAGCCUCCACACUGCUGCAGCACCCUGACCUCACAAAUGCCUUCCAAAGGCUGCAGCCUAGUGCUUUGGCCUGUGCUGCCUUCUCGUGCUUGCCUCUCCCCACACCUCUCACUGACUCUCCUCCUUACAUCAGUGUUUGGCGCAGGUCUGGGCACAGCAGCACUGCCCAGCACCAAGAGGUGCUGGGAGCCAACAUGCCUGAGCAAGCCCAGGGGGAGCAAGAGGAAGGAGGAGCCCCCCCAGCAGAAGAGCAGAGCAGGGAUGCCAAUCUUAGCAGGCAGCAAACACAAUUUGGCCAAACCUAACUACCCCACCUGCAAUCCCAGUUUCAGUGGGCUGCUGACUUCAGACUUCAUAGGAAACUAAUUGUUGUGAACGAUGCUGUUCUGCUUUAUCCUCAUUAACAUCACUUGCUUGUUUUUUCAAAAGCAGAGAUGCUAACUAUCACUUCUGCUCAGGGCUGUGUAACACAACUAGAGGCUUUCCUUUUCCACACUGAGAAGCACCUUACAGGAAAGAUUUUAGCUGUCUGUACUUAGGAAAGUAAGCUUUAGUCCUUUCCCUUUAGCAUCUCCACCACACAAAAACUACACAGGUUAGAGCCCUUCUUCUAAAAAUUCAGAUGUUAAUUAACAGUGAAAGGGCAGUGUUAAUAACUUUGCUGUUUUUAAGCUUGCUGAGAUCAUACUCCAUAUAGCAAUGAAAGAGGAAAUGUAAACAACCAACAGCAAGAAAUAAGCUAAAACUGUCUGUGGAUCAGUGAAAAAAGGAAAAAUUGAUGAACAAUGCAGGAACAAUUAAUCGGGCUAUUGAGUUGUAUGUACAGACAUGACUGUAGACAGGGUGCAUAUUUUUGCCACACACAAAUGUGUGGUGAGUUGGAGUUUCUCAUUUGCCUUCUGCCAUGUUCAUUUAUGUAGUCUGCUCCCACGGCCUCACCAAGAGCAGUGCUCUCCAACAGCCUGCACUGUCUCCUGGGGAAGGAGAAGCCUACCUUUGGACCAAAUAAGAGUUCACCAUUUUUUUCUGGGUAUUUUUGGAAGUAAAUAAAGGGCAUUUCUACUAGAAACAGUUUUAUCCCAGGAUGGAAGAUGGUACAACACAAAACUAUACAGUGCCAUUUGCAUUUUAAACUCAACAGUUUCAAGAUCAAUCUUCUUCAGCUAUUCAAAAAUAUUCAAAAACAUGCUGAGUGGAGGCAAAGCUUAUACUUCAACACACUACUUCUGAUAUUUGAGAGGUUCAGCACAGACACUAUCCCAUAAACUUUCCAGCAUCAUAUUUAUGAGCACACGGACACAUUUAUUUCUUUGGAUAGAAAACAUGGAAUAGAUGACCAUCACAUCACUGGUGAAAACUGCUAUGUCAUAAAAUAGCCCAUAGCUACUGGAAUUUAUAAGUUCCUGUAACCAAGUAACAUGUGCCAAGCCAGGCAAUCCUGAUGAAUUACAUUAGAAGCCUAUAGAAUUCUCAGAAAUAAUUAAUUUGCUCAGUGUUGCAUCUGCACAAAGACAUACAUACACUCACACUUCUGAAGGAAAAUAAAUUCUGACUUCUUACGUUCACGAAUUUCCCCUUGAGGAUACACCUGAAGAACAUGAAGGACAACCAAACAAAAAAGCAACAGAAUACAGGCAGCAAACUAAACUAGGUCCUCAGGCUCUCACAGGAAACCCCUAUGCCUCCAUUUUACACUCUGCCACAGCUGUAGAUCUACAUCAACCCCAGAGGGAAGCUCCAAAACCUGGAGAUUUCUGGUAGAGAUGAGGAGCUCUCAACUCCCUGACAUGGAGCUCAGCUUUGCACAUGGGACAUUCAGCAACAACAUAAGAGCUUUUUUUACUCAGUCUCACAAGGACAGGUUUUGCCCUGCAGGGCUACAGGGACAUAACCUACCCAACAAUGUGCCACAGCAAACUCCUGACCUGGUCACCAGAAGUGCCAAAAGGCACAGUGCUGUCCUUCGGAUGCUUCUGCUGCAGCAGAGAUCCUGGAACAACGCAGCAUUAGGGGGCCACCCAGUUUGGCUGCACACAGAGAAGGGAAACGAGCUACAUUCCCACCAUUUUCAAAAGGUUUUACUCCAGAUCUUCAUUUCUCCUCAUCGCACAAGAUUUUGAACAUUUACGAUGAAGUUAUCGAUGUGCCACAGUCAGCAAAGGAAGACUUGCAGCACAGAGCUAUUGCUCAGUUAAUAACCCAACAGCGAGGAGAAAAAAACCUCUGAAUUUAGCAUGGCUGAUGUAAGCUGUGAUGUCAUUUCCACACAUAGGCUAGUGAAAAAAAAAUUAUUUUUUUUUUCAGAUCCAAGAUACAGAGAUAUGUAAAUUGCUUGGCUUCCAUUUCAAAUAAAUAGUGUGAGAUAACCCCAAAACUUAAUAAUGCUUUCAGCCUUCACUCCUGCUCUUCAGAAGACUCAAAGCCUUCGACAGGAUCAGCUCACUGGGAGAGCAGUGUGCCAAACCACUUGUACAGGCACGCACCCUCAGCACCGUCCCACCCAGCAGUGCCAGCACAGUCUGGUUCUCACUCUUCAACAAGAUGUUUGGUUUGGGCUUUUUUUUUAUUUUGGAGGAAGUAAUUUUAAAGAAAGAAUAGGAAAAAAAAAUUUUGCUCUAACAGCUGUAAAGGAUUUUUUGGCAUAAUUAUGGGCAAAAUUAACUAUUCUCUAAGGACAGAUUAAACAAGCCAAGCAAAACAGGUCAGAAGAUCAGAGAGAAAGGACAUCUUAGAAUUAUGAAAGAUGCUCAGCUAAAUUAACAAAAAAAAAAAAAAAGGCACCAACAAAAAAAAACCCUUCAGCCAAAUUGAAGAAACUGCUGAAAGAACAAUUUGAAGGUACAAAGAAAUUCACUUACUAAAUUUGGG